rnacentral:tRNA from 1 species
ACUUAUAUAGUAUAAAAAUUAUACUCGACUUCCAAUCGAAAGAUCUAUUUAACUAGUAUAAGUA